rnacentral:lncRNA from 1 species
UGGCCUUCCGAGAAAAAACAUUGCAAGAUCUGCUAGAGGGACUGGAAGCAAUAGGAAACAAUAGGGCUGCUUCAAUUGUCAAAAAAGGGGCUCAGAAGAAAGGCCUUUACAUACAGUAUCCCGGUCGUCGCCCUCCUCCUCACGUCUGCAGUACUGGCAAUCCACAAGAGCACCAGGAUGCAGAUUGAUUUUUCCCGCAUACAGUACGGGGAACAAGCCGAAUCAUAACGUGAAUUAGUUCAGGUAUAAGAAACUACAGGAAGUGCCGGCCAUUCCCCUGGCCCUGGAUUGGCUGGCUACUUCAUGCAUGGGAAUCGUGGUUUCCGUGUUUUCCUCUUACUUGUCAUUUUUUUUAUAGAAAAGCUUGAGUGGACAAUGUUACUUGUAAAUCGUACGACAUUUUUGGUGCACGUAGUAUGCUUGACAAGGUUGAUUAAUAUUAAUGUUUUAAUUAAGUUUGCAUCACUUUUCUACUUUUUUUUACCUUAUUUUUAUUGUCCCAUUUAGUGGUUCUUGUACUUCUAUAAUUUCAGCUUAACACUUAAAUAAGGGCUUUGUUCCUAUCAUUACAGUCGUUAGCAAGUUGCAAUUUAAAUCUACACAAAACAAUUAACUUGUAGUAGGCUUAUGCGUGCCGCGAAAAAAAAAUUGUUUUGCUUUAAUUGGCCCCAAGUUGAUCAGAAGGAAAUUUUUUUCCAGUUUUCCUUGCCUCAGUGGAAAAGUUAAUUUCAACAGGAAAAUUUGGUAGUUAGUUGGUAGUAUGAUGUAAGUUUUAGGCAAGUGCAAACUCAAUAUUUACAUAAUAGCAGCUCAUGGCAAACUCCACCAUAUCUAAAAUUAAAUGGAAAAGUACUAGAGCAAUUUACAGUACUGAAAGCUACCGAAAUUAUUGAAACAAUAGUGCUAGUUAGAGGCCAGAUUAUUAUUGCUGAUCAUAAGUUUUAAACUGAUAGUUUAAAGGGAUUAAUAAAUGAGUAAAUAAAUAAAUUAUUAAAUGCUUUUUUGAGGAAAAAAUUUGCCAUGUUUCGUAAACAUAUAAAAAAGCCAUUAACCAUGGUAAUCAGCUGUCUAUCUGUAUCAUAUCGUGCAACACCUUGCGGGGCUCAACACUAACACUUACCCGCUUUCCAUUGGAAAGUAUAUUUGCUUCUAGGAAAGUAAAAAAAUCAAAACUGAACCAAAAUACUUACAAGAUCCGGUGAGUAAAUUUUGAGCUAUGUUGGAAAGUAAUGUUUAGGCAAAGCAAAUGCAUAAAAAAUAAUCAAAUGAUAGAAAUAACCGGAUCCGACAAUGAUCUUCUGUCUUCAAAAGGACAAGUUUACACCAUUCUAGCAUUUACUGAUCUGCCAUAUUGGAGUAUUGGGAGAGCUGCUGAGUAGGUCUGGGUGCAAUAAAUACAUGUGGUAUGGUGCAAUUCAAUCCACCAUUUUGGAUUCCUCCUCCUACCUCCAUUUCGAAAAGUAAAAUUUUGAGAUGGAAAGUAAAAUUUGAAAUCUACGUUACAGAAUGGAAAGUAGUGUUAAAAGUUAGUGUCAAGCCCUGCCUUGUAGUGAGAACCACAUGAGUUUGUAAGUAGUUAAUAUUAUGAAAGGGACUGACUUGCCUAUGAUGAAAAAGCCUAGAACAACAAUGAGGUCAUAAGCAGCCAAUAGUGGUUUAGGAUUAGUAGACGAAAGAUUUGCCUCGUUUCGAAAGUUCUGGAAUUUUUAGUCGAAUGGAAGGCGCCCAUAAUCAACUGAAUCGUAAAGUUAGCGUAUAUAUCUAGGGUAGAUAAAAUUAAAAGAAUCAUGGAAACAGA